GUGCUCACUUCGGCAGCACAUAUACUACAAUUGGAACGAUGCAGAGAAGAUUAGCAUGGCCCCUGUGCAAGGAUGACACACAAAUUCGUGAAGCGUUCCAUAUUUUA
rnacentral:snRNA from 1 species